CACAGUUAUUAUGUGCCAACUAAACAAGCCCAUGAUCAGGUUGAUGAGUCUUAUUCACUGAUGAGAUUGUAGGUAGAAUUUGGAAUUUAAGAUAUCUGGCAAGCUUAGCGAAAGAUAAACAGCUAAAAUGGAGCAUGUCUAGAGAAACCUAUACAACACAGAACAAAUCUCACUUGCUUACCAGUGGCUGUGGUUAUGACUUGGAAAGGAGAAAAUAUGGAUUCAUGAUACUGAUGACCAAUAUGGAAGAAGAGACUCAGGCUGGUGCUUGCAGAAGAUAAAAGAGAAAGCCAUUGGUUAACAAGACAGUAGAGUACUUGCCUAAUCAUAGUUAUACAGUAAAACACUUCUGUACUGUGACUUUAAAGGAUUAAAACAGGAGCUUAACAAAGGAUCUCUGCCUUAUCCAGUGACACAGGUGGUUACACCCGUGCUAGUGGAUGCAAGAUUCAAUGUCUGUCUUCAUUCUUCCAGACUUCUUGUUUCUGUCUGUUCCAUGGUUCUUCUUCAAAUUAACUCUCAUCCUCAAUGGGAUCAACGCUUCUCAGGAAGAGCUUCCACAAGUGCAAGAUCACAUUGAAAUGGAAGAAGGGUGUCUCUUGUUCCCAGGUUUCAUCCAGUUUGGUAAAAUUGCUGGAUCUACUCCUACUGCAAGCAGACAAAGUUAUCCAUUUUCCUUCUCCUUCAGUCAUACUGUCAUAUACCUGCAUGUAAGUUAUGUCACUGUACCUUGUCUAGACUUAUUAGUUAAAUAAAUAAAUAAAUAAAAUGGUUAUGGGUAAGGUGAAUGGUAA
rnacentral:lncRNA from 1 species